UCAUUUUCAUUAUAGGCUAAAAUUUAUUUUCUUCUUCUAAUCUCUCUUAUUAGACUCCUUCAAAAGAUGAGUUUGUAGUUAUUGAUGUGCAACCGGUAAGAAGCAACAUCCCAGAGGCAAAACUUUCCGUGCCAGGAAGGAGGACAAGCAAGGAGAAAAAAGAGCUCCCACCGUGGCGUUCAUCAGACAGGCAUCCUACAGAUACCAUCCGAUUCAACUACCUCGACAACUACGAUCCCAUCGAGCAGGCUAGGCAGGCGAGAAAGAAAGGAGGAGGGGAGACCCCGGACCUUAGCCGGCAGGCAGCUGAGAAAAAAAAGAGAGCGGGUCAUGGAUCUAAUAAGCUCCCGAAGGCAAAAUCACUGCUAUCACUUUCUGCAGAUCUUGAGUCUGUUCCAAAACCACCAGUUCGUCCCAGCUGGGCCACUCACCAGUCAACCGGGAACCUGCCCCCCAAAGCAGCGGCAAAAGCCCUGGCCCAGAGCUCCCAGUGGAAUGCUGGGAUACGACCAGCACCUGUUCGAGCUCCAGUGCCAAAGCCACGUGAAAGAGGAAGGAAAGACUUCACAAGGACAAACACCAGGUCUCCAUCAUCUCUGCUGUUUGAGGCUCAGCCCUGGCACAUUCCUCCAUCUAACCAAGGAUCUGACACAGAGUAAGGGAGAAUUCAAAGUAUCCUUCAUCCCAGCAGAACAGAAGCUCAUCUGCCUGGCACUGGGGAAACACCAGCAAUGUUACCCGAGUCACAGGCUGUGCUCGAAGAACAGCUGCUUUUGAGACCUCCAUAAGGACCCAGCUUAGUUUUUUUUCAACUGUUGCUGGAAAAGACUUUCUUCACUGACCUCACUACACAAUGCAAAGAAAGGAGCAUGGAGGUCCUGCACCUAUUCUCACUUAGGCUGGCCAAAAGAAAACUUAACUGCCUUGCAGCCAGUUUAGACAGCAAGGUGUCGGAGCAAUGGCUUUAUACUUUUUUUGGAAGUACCAUACUUGGUGCAAUGACUCCUGCCUGCCUUUGGGACCUCCAGGUGGGAUCUCCUGUUUCCAAACUGGAGGACAGUCUAAGUCUGUUUUCCUGUUGUGCUUCUCAGCCUUGUUUCCUGUUGCUGCUGCUAUAUUCUCUUUUCCUUUUGGGUAUGUCAUCUCUUCAGAGUUUACCUAGGCUUUUGACCACGGAGACACUUGUGCAGAUCCUUGCUAGAGCUGUUGGACCUCAUGUGAGCUUGCCUGUGCGUCACUUGGACAUCUUGGGGCAUAUCCCAUGUGGGCACUGCUGCUCCGUGAUGCUUUGCCAGUGAAUUAGAGAAGAUGUCUGUCUCUGUGGGCACCGAGAGGUUUGUGGAAGACAAGGGGGAACUACCAGCCUGAGUGAUGGAAACUGUACCCUCGCUACAAAGCGAGUGGUUUACCACCAAUGUUAAUGUGACCCCUCAGCUGUAACCUACAGACCCUGCCAAAUCAGCUAGACUGUGAAGAAAGCGCCACAGCGUUCAAGGGAAAAGCCUUUAAUAUGUGGGAGAAGGAAGGCUCAGAGAAAACAUUUGAAGAAAAACCUAGUUAGAACUGUAUUGAAGACAGAAUCUCAUGUUAGACAAGCCAACUCGAUCUCUUCCAUCACGUUAGUGAGAAGGAAAUCAAAUCCCACACUCUGGAUUGCAGCACUGCACAUGGCUCUGUGUGGAGAGCUGGCACUAGUCUACUUAUUUAAGAGAAUGUAAAUCAUGUGCUUUUAUUUGUCUUUUCCACAAUUAAGGAAAUAUCCAGUAAACGUAAUGAAUAGCCGUUUUUAAGGAUAAGGGGACUGAAUGCACAGCAACUGUAACUAAUUGCCUUACCAUAACCCAGACUGAGAGAGCUGGGAUAAAACCGAACCUUUCCACAGUUUAGGAAGAGCCACAGCAUGCCCAUGAAUUCUCAACAUCUAUGGACUAGAAAUCAUGUUUCAGAGAAAAUGCCAACUACUGAUUGACAGGGAUUAGAAGAAGACUUCUGCUCUGUGAGCAGAUCAUUCUGCACUGUGUCACUUGAGGGUUUCAAGUUUUUUGGCGUGAAAGACAUUGACCAUUGUCAAGACCAGGCACUGGGCACGAUGUACCAUGGAUCUUACCUGAAGGGAGAGCAUCCAGCAGGAGACUCAGCCCAUUGGGGUACUUGGUCGAGUGCCAUGUGAAUUACAGCUCCAAAUCAAUUAGGUAACUCAGUGCAUCUCCCUCUCCCAGAUGUUGUUCCUUCAUCUUUUCUAGCUGCCCUGGAUGCUUGGCAGGGGGAGUUCUUCUCAACCAACAUGAUGGCCUAAGAGCUAGUUAAGUCUAAGCUAGUCACCUCUCAAGCGAUCAGAUGAAAUAGGAACUUGCAGAUGGCAAUUAGCUCAUAUAUCUUAGGAUCUGUUGAUUAUGCAAGAGACCAGACUGACUAAUUUUGAUUAAGAAAGCUAACUUUUGAGCAUUUAAAGUCAGGUGGGGUAAAUCACAUCCAAAACAUUCAUCGGCAUCAUUCCCUUGUAUUGCAAAUCUCUCCUCACAAGCCUUUUCCCCUAGGAAAUCAAGUUAAACUGAUUGCUUCAUGGGUGUUUCCUUGGCUUCUUAAGUCCAAACUAUUGUUCUAGCUUUUUUUUGGUCUCUGUUAGGCAGCCUGUAGCUUCUCAUGGCAGCAGUUCAGCGCUAGGUCCGUGUUACAAACAGCAAAUGGCUAUGCAAGGAAAUGAUGGAACCCUGCAGCAAUGGUUUUUCUUAUCUCACUAAUGAGCAUACUCGCCAGAAACAUAAAGUUCCCAGGGUCUGACUGGUCUUGGAGCUGAGUGCUUGGGCAUUACUGCAGAUGCUGUGCCUUCACUGCACCAGAUCAUGCAUCUUAAGUACUCACUGUACAUUUUAAGGCUUAGGCCUUCUCUGAUUUAUAAAGUUUUUGUAUUUAUGAUGCUGUAAAAUAACUAACAGUAAUGUCCAGGAACGUACCAAGCCAAGUAGUCUAUCUUUGAAGUAACAGCAGACCUACGUAACGCCUUGAUGUAACUUGUACCAAUUAUGUUAUUAGAAUAAAAAUAUGUGUACUU
ensembl:lncRNA